UUUUCCACUUUGAGUCCUUCAUGUACCCAUGGGUUUAUUGGCUUAUAUGUUACCAAUUUUUCUCCAAUCAAGCCAAACUUUGCUGCCACAAGACAUUUCUCUAAGUCACUAACUCAUUUUCAAAGACUACUCAAGCCAAAAACAAGAAUCCUUACCUUUCUUUGCUUGAAUCACCAAAACCAAGCUUUUUCUUCCUUUCUCUCUUUUUCUUUCUUCUUCUCCUAGGGUUUAGAUGUGCUGAAAAUUGGGGUUAAAAGCUUCAGGUUUAGUGCCC
rnacentral:lncRNA from 1 species